rnacentral:rRNA from 1 species
GACGAACGCUUGCGGCGUGCCUAAGAAAUGCAAGUCGAACGAGUUCACUCUUCGGGGUGGAUGUAGUGGCGAACGGUCGCGUAACACGUAGGCAACCUGCCCUAAAGUGGGGACAACAAGCCGAAAGGUUUGCUAAUACCGCAUGUAGCCAAGAAGAGGCAUCUCUUGUUGUCUAAAGCCUUCGGGCGCUUUAGGAUGGGCUUGCGGCCUAUCAGCUUGUUGGUGGGGUAACGCCUACCAAGGCGACGACGGGUAGCUGGUCUGAGAGGAUGGUCAGCCGGAUUGGGACUGAGAUACGGCCCAGACUCCUACGGGGGGCAGCAAUUAGGAAUCUUGCACAAUGGGCG